CUGUGUGGUAGGGUGUUUCCCUCUACCAAUAAGACUGGAUAAACAAUAGGAAUGUGUUAUGGUUGAUACAAUGUGUCCACUUGAGAAGUUUAACUAAGAUUCUGGGCAGGGAGCCAGGGUUCUUACUUUGUAAAUAUCCUCCUUCUGGGCAAGAGGAGGGCAACAAGAUUUUUUGAGUGCUACACCCACCCUGGAGGAGGAAUGGCCCUUCCUUGAUGUUGCACUGCUGCUUUUGCUGGCUGCUGCCCCUGUGCCAAGCCACCCUGCCUUGGAAGCUGCUGAUCAUGGACUGAAACCUCCACAAACACUUGGAUUUAUGCUGUCAGUGCUACACUUGCCUAGGGGUGGAGCCAGCACACAAUGUGACCGCAGGAAGAAGCUGUGUCUUUCUCUCUUGCUGGUUUCCUCCUUGCUGUUUGUAGCAGCCAUGAACUGCGGCCCCACCAUGCCUUGGAGCCAACUGAAUAUGGACUGAAACCUCCAAAAAAUAAAUUUUACCAUGCCUAGAAACAUUAAAGAAUUCUGAAUCCAGAAAUAUAAAAGGAAGGACAGCACACAUGUCCUCUAGAUCUCUAAAUAUUGUCUACAAAAUAUUGUCUACAAAACCAGAUGGAAGCAUCAAGCCCUCAGUUGAAGAGUUCAAGCAGAAGUGUAACUAAAAUGAUAUUAACACAUCACAUGCAACUUCUGUCACAUUUGGAUUUGGGUCAUUCCUCCAGGCUAACCAGAGAAGUUAUUUUCUAGGUCCCAAGCAAGAUCAGCAGUGGGACAGAAGAAGAUUAAAGCAUUCACAAAGCAGUUAAGAGCUGAAUCCUAAAACUAUCAACUAGCUGUAGUGUUAAGGAGAUGGUCAAUGAAUUUUCUUAGUUUCCACUGGACCUUAGUAAUUUCUUAAAUUAUAUUUGAAACAGAGAUUAGGUUAGAUGAGAUUCUGAUGUAUCAUUAGAGUGAGCAGGGGGUUAUACUUAAUUAAUAAAAUAUGUUAUAUUCUUAUCAUGAGAAUCCUAUUAUUAUCUUAUUUAGCUUAACCUCUCCGCAAAGGUACCAUUAUUCAUCUUUUGGCUUUUCUGAGAAUAGCAUAUUCUACUAUUGUGAUUUCACUUCCCUAUCUUCAUUCACAAAGGCAUACUAUUUUAUGUUGCUAGGCUUUUCAACUUACACUAAUCAUCUCUACUAAGUUAUUUUUCUACCUGCAAAGUAAAGGGAGAGACGUAUAAGAAAAAAGGAGCAGAUUUCAUUUUUAUACAUCUUAAUCCUGUCGAGUACUACUGUACACAAACCUCUUCUAUUAGCUCACAUUUAUGGUUUCACACUUCAGGGUUACCAAAAGGAAAACACCUAAAUUCUGCACAAUGAAAUAUGUCUCCUGAGUAAAACACUAGAUGUGUAACAAUCUGGCAGCUUGCUUUUGUCCCAGCCAUGAACUCCAGUUGUGAUUUGUGAGAUUCACAAUUUUCUGGAUAAUGGCCAGGCUGGGACAUUAGCUGAAAAAUGUGAAAUCACAGCAAGAGCUGGUCUUCACCAGUGACUUCCUGUAAGGCAAACAUCACAGCUUCUGGUUUAAUCCCAACACCACAGGCUUACAGGACAGUUCUGCCAAAAGGAGAGGCAAAGAGAGAUUCAUAGCAUCACACAGAGUCUCAAGAGAAUCACUUCCCGGCCAUAAUGCAUGCUAAAACAGUCCAGGAUACUUGGCAAGGGUUUGUAUGUGUCUGGGACAGAGUCUUUAAUUUUAGCAUGAUCUGCAUAAACUCCUGGCCAGCAAUAUGGGUGUGUUAUUAGAGAAAUCCAGUCCCCUUCCAAGUCCUAAUUUUUGUACAUUUCUAAUGUCUCCAAGCAUGUAUCAGCCACAAGAUGUUUUCUCUGCCACCUUUUACAGAGAAUCCCCUAGAAAAUACUGAAGGGAUUAGGAAAUAUAUUCUCAUGCAGAUAAGAUUUCCUCAUUUUUUUCCUGCAAGCUUUUUGAUGGAAGAUACAUGUGUGGUGCACUGGUAACUGGUGGCCAACUUAAAUACCAGCUGAACUGAAUUGUCAUGGAGCUGAGCUUGGAUGGCCUGCCUAAGGACAGCUGCCUGCAUAAAAGAAGACCUGGAGAGGAGGAGUAACAUUGUGGGUUCUCCUCAAUGCAGCUGUUUGGAGCCGUUGCUUCUCCUGGAGGAGGUCAUCAUGCUGGCUCCCCCUGAUACGAACUUGGCUGUUAUCUUCAGAAGAGCUUGGCACCCUGUCGCUGAGAAUGGCUGUGGUUCACUUUGGGGGAGCUCUGGUCCUCACAUUGAGCACUACUUCCUGGCUCUUGAGGGGAAGAAAUGUGUUUAAUUUCCAGAAGUUUGUCAUGUUUGUUUCCUGGUACAUACUCAGUUGUUCUCAUUGUUAGGGGAGCUCAAAACCUCAUUCUGUUGGGAGCUGUUGAAACUAGAAAUUGAACACACAUGCAGGGCUGCAGCAAGGUGGGGGCAUGUUCUGACCCAGAACGAAGAGACACCUCAAAGGGUAAGAUAAGGUCACAGCUGAGGACACCUGGCUCCAACCCCAAUCAACUAAGUAAAAACUAGCUGCAGGCAUUUGACUCCUGUAGUGAAAUGCAACAUGGAGAUCUUCUCCUAAAUAUUUCUCCUAAAUGAAACAUAAUCUGUUAUUGGGCAAUCUUUGAACCACUCCCAAGGUCUGUUCAGUUUCCUUUGUUUUCUACUCUUAACCCCUUCCUUGUUUGAAAAACUAAACAUGGCUGCCCAGAGACAUUUCUUGUGUUAGUCCCUAGAGCCUUGAAUUCCUCAAAGGGUUUUGGAGCCCUAAAAUCAUACCACUUAUGUCAUCUAUUUUAGCCUUCAUUGUACACUCAUUUAGGAGACUGGAGAUCUAAGCCAGGUCCCUGGUAACUGUCACUGAGGAUGGCUAUGGUACUUUUCAUGGGAGCCAUGGUCCUUAUUUUGAGCAUCACUUCAUGGCUCCGGUACAGAACCCACCCUCAGCCUGCUGGCACAGAUCCUCCACCUCACUAGCACAGACUUUCUAGAUUCUUCUGCUAAUUUUUGGGGCUCCCCAGUGAAGAUCUGUGGGACAGACUUGCAUGGGUCAUUGUUAUGGGCUCUGGGUUUUCAGCUGAAUUCAUAAAGGUUAUCGCCAUGGGAUCCAGGCCCUCAGCUGAUAUUUCUAGGUCUUUAGUGUGUGGACAGAUUUCCUGCACCUUCUCUGUAUGUGACUCCUUGGGUGACCAUUAUAAAUUGUAUUAUAAAUUAUGUGCCCUUGUAAUUGUUCUCCUUACAACCCUUAACUAUCGUAACAUCUAUUCACUGACAUCCUUGUAACUUAAGUCUUACUUUCCAUGCAGGAUUCUCUCUGCCAUAUGUAUUAUUCAUCACCUACGGUUUGUGGUAGGAUAAACUCUCCUUAGACAUAGAUACUGCUGACCUUUAAAUGGAGUAUGUGAGACAAAAUAUAGAUGUAGAGCUGACCAAAAGGGAGGCACAGAGAAGCCACGGCUCCAUUCCUCUCUCACCCUCUCCCCCAAUUUCCAGUUAAGUGGAAAAAGCAGUGGAGACAGUCGGAGCCCAUUCAUUGUCCAGAAGAGAGGUUUCCAUCACUCAGCAUGAUUUUCAAGUCCAAACGGCUUGCAUGAUGAAAGAUGUUACUAUUUCACAAACAGGAAGUGGCAGAACCAUAGCAGCCCAAGCUCUUGCUGUGUGGUAUAAACAACAGCAGCUCCUGGACCACAUGCAGACAGGCUGUUCCCCAGAGGAAAGGGGGCAGGGGACCACUACCCUUUAGCAGGUCUUUCCAGAAAUGCUUGCGUUAUGUCUCCUUGUAUUUCUGAGCUAUUCUCCGAAGAUUCUCCAUGGUCACCAACAGGAGAGAGAGCUGACCUAGUCCAGGGUUCCUUUCCAGCACUCUCACCAGUCCACUGAUGCAUCCUCCUUUUAGGAAGAGUUGUCUUAAUCUGCACAUUGAGUCCCCUCAGAAUUUCUGUUGAAUCGCAUCUUUCUGAUAUUCUAUACAGCAUAGGUUGUUCUAUAUAACAACGGUAUUGUUGUCAAUACUGUUUACCAUCUGUCUUUCUGCCUUGGAAUUCUCCCCCAAAGAGCAUUUCUGAAAUUGUCAAACAGACAGCAAAUACUCAAUGACUCCAUAAGAAACAGCUCGGAAAGUUGGAUAAAGCAAGCAAAUUGAAUUGUGAUUUGAGUGCAGUAUCUUCUUAUUCAAGGACAAAUUUGAUCAUUUUAAAAGAGAGUUCUAAUCUCCAUUAUCCAUUAAGCCCAUAAAAGACUUAAAUAUUAUUGUCUCGCUAUCAAAUGGCUUGUUACAGGAAAAGAAAUGACAUUUGGUUUUACUAUUCAAAUUCAAAUUACUAUUCAAGGAGUAGUUAAUUCCUUAUGAAGAAAGCUUUAAAAGAAAAAUGUAUAUGUAUUGCUAUGUAAGGCAAUGAUUACAGACUUUUAUGAUGUCCAUAAAUUUGAUCUGAGCUCUGCAGCAGCUAUAACCCUUCACCCCUGUGAGGUAUCUGGGAGGUUUUCACAGAGAGCCAACAGAACGGUUUGUCUUAGUGACUCCCUCUUACACACAACGUGGCUAAAGAUCCUACCUGAACCCUCACUUGCUGCUGAUGACGGACUUAAACAGUCAACCUGGAACACAAACCUAAGACCUACAAUUCUAAAUCAUAUGGCAUUUUGUGUGGCAUAAGUAGAUUAAUUUUAAAAGAACUGUUCUUGGGGAAAUUACAUGAGACCAGCUUUUCUCUCUCACUGUUCAUGUUGUUGUAUCAUGUUUAAGCUCAUGCAAUGUUUAUUGGAAUUAACUGUGCAGAACGGUGGUCAGGAUGUUUAUAUUUUCAUGAUAAAAGUACAAUGAUCUGAUAUAAUAAUUGUGUACUUGAUUCUAACUGCAAUAUAUUUUAUAGCCAGUUAUUGACUCUUGGAGACCACUAUGAAGCAGCUUUGAGCAGGAUUUAAAUGUUACUAAUUGGCUUUCUAUGUUUAUCUGUGAGUCUGUCCUAGGCCUCGGCCCCUCACCUGGAGAUGGGAACUGAUUCAUAGUAAGUGAACCUCUGUGAAUCACUGGUCCUGGCUGAGGCCUGUAGUGGCCUGUGAGGCCAGAGAUAACUCAAACAGCAAGAUAAGGACACAGCUGGGGACACUCUGGCUCCAACCCCAAUUAACAAGGCAGAGACUGCAGGUGCACAGAUUACUCCUGCAGUCUCACUUCUACCAUGUCUUCAUGAUAAGACAGUGCUACUGAAUUGACUUGAUUCAUAACUUGAGACUCCUUGAAGUGACUCCCAAGGUCCUGCUCAUUGCCUGCACUUUCCUCAGUUUCUCUGCCCUUUGUCCCUCUUCCUAAUAUAAGUGGACUGAUCCAGAGAAUCCUUUGUCUUUACCCUCGAAGCCUCAAGCUUAAUUAAAGGGUUUUGACCCUCCUGGAGCCCUAAAACCGUACUAUUUGUCUUUUUUUACUUAACCUCCACCAUACAUUCAUUUGGCAGAUUGGGGAUCUAGGACAGAACCCGAUAAUCGACUGCUCCACCCUCACCACCUGCUGGAGCUUUAUGAACUUGGGCUGACAUUACAUGUUUGG